AAAAAAAUGGCAGAUAUAAAUGAAAAGCUAAUUGAAAUAGUUCGAUGCCAUGCAAUUUUAUGGGAUUUAACCAAUCCUAACUACAAGAAUAUAACAAAGAAAGCGGCAGUUUGCGGAUGAACUGGGAUUACCGAUUGAUGUAUGCAAAAAGAAGUGGAAGGCCCUAAGAAAUUGCUUCUCCAGGGAAUUUCAUAAAAACCAAAAUCUGAUCAAGCUGCGGAAGAGCUGGAAUCAUCUUGGAAAUUUCGUGACCAAAUGGAGUUUAUAAGGGAACACAUGAAACCAAGACCUACGACAAGUAAUAUUACAUCUAGCCUUUGUAAUAUCGAAGACAUAAAUGAUUCAUAAGGAACCGCACCCUUCACUCCAUUGAGCCCUGAAGAACCGGAAUUGGAUUUGUUUAAUUCCGAAGAACCUGUUCCAACAACCACGCUAUCGAGCUCUAACGGAACUGCAAAGAGGCAAAAAAUUACUAUGGAGUCAUCAUUUUUAGCUACGAUGAAAUCGGUUCAGGAUUUCCUAGAAAAACCUCGGGGGGCUUCCCAAGUGAUAACGGUUGCAACUCCUCCCUCUGCUUCUGUUUUGCCUGAUCCUGAUGAGGAUGAAUUGUUCUGCUAGUCGUUAGUAAAAAAAAUUAAAAAGUUCCCAAAAAAUUUAAAAAAUCAAGCAAAACUUGAAGUAUUAAGAUACUUAAAUGAUAUUGAAAACAUGUUA